GUAGAGUCACAAGGGGUCGACUCCGCCCAGGUUGGCGCAGGGGCUUGCGGGGGGCCAACUAGCAAGGACGCCCGGGAACUCUCGAGAAGAGCCGACUAUGACGGUCCCAGGGUGUGGGACAAUUCGCGGGCCUGCGCGGAUGCUGUCGCAGACGUCCCGCGGUCUGGGCUCCGCGCCGAGGGGGACGUCCGGGCUGGAAGGCUCCGAGAAGCGUGGGACUGAAAAACGUUGAGGACCUUUGUACUGUGCUAGGGGCCUCCAGAGUUAAAGACGGUGUGAUUUGUGUUCCUGGGGCUUAAAAACAGUGUAAAAGCAUACGUAGGUCCAAGCCUAAGUGCACAAGUAGUUCCUCGCCUUAGGACAGGUGGAUGCUAACCAAGGUGGUGCAGUUUUAAAGCUGGAACUGAUUUCAUGAUCUUCCCCAACUCCCACCCCGCUUCUUCGUUCCGUAAAUGCACCAGCAUCGGAGAGUGAGAGCAUGCACAAGCUGGAGAAGACGCAGAGGGAGAAGCAGAUUCCCCACUGAGCAAGGAACCUGAUGUGGAGCUCGAUCCCAGGUCCCCAGGAUCAUGACCUGAGCUGAAGGCAGAUGCUUAACCAACUGAGCCACCCAGGUGCCCCUCAUUGAUGUUUCUAUAUCCAGUUGUGCUUUAAGACAAAUUUACUCCUGACUUCCCAGUUAUUUGAGCCAACAAAUAAGUUGUACAAAGCUAAUUUGAGGGGUUUUUGCUGUUGUACUAAUAAAAGGUCCUCCUUAAUAUUGAGUUUGGAUAGAAUCACUAAUUCUUUAGUAGCAUGCUUCCUCUAAACAUUAAUGUUUAUUCUUUUUUAUUAUUAUUUAAAAGUUUUAAUUCAUUCUUUGUGUUCUUAUCAUUUCUUUUAUCAUUUUGUUGAUUAUAAAUUCAUUAUAUAUUUUUUAAAAACCAAUGCACUGAAAAUGCCAAAAGAGUAAAAUAUGACCCAGCUAUCCUCCAAAGUUUCAAUAAAAGUGGAGCAAAUCAA